rnacentral:ncRNA from 1 species
CCCGCUGAAUUUAAGCAUAUUAGUCAGCGGGAGGAAAAGAAACUAACGAGGAUUUCCCUCAGUAACGGCGAGUGAAGAGGGAAGAGCCCAGCGCCGAAUCCCCGCCCCGCGGUGGGGCGCGGGAGGUGUGGCGUACGGAAGCCCCCAUCCCCGGCGCCGCUCUCGGGGGCCCCAAGUCCUUCUGAUCGAGGCCCAGCCCGCGGACGGUGGUGAGGCCGGUAGCGGCCCCCGGCGCGCCGGGGCCCGGGGCUUCUCGGAGUCGGGGUUGCUUGGGAAUGCAGCCCAAAGCGGGUGGUAAACUCCAUCUAAGGCUAAAUACCGGCACGAGACCGAUAGCCAACAAGUACCGUAAGG